CUAAAAACAAAUUUAGAUAUAACAACAAAAAUCCUAAUUUUCUGAUGACAGUUUCGAAAUACUUAUCUCAUUUCGGUGUUCGUCAUUGUCACGAUAAAAACCCUAUUCCAAUAGUUUUCGUUCUCGGAAAAAUGUGAUUAUAUGAGAACGUGCGUACGGUUUACUAUCGGCCAACUCAAUCGUCUGAUCAUGUAUAGGUAUUUAAUAUUUUAAAUGCGCAUAAACGCGCGUGAUAAUUUCGCAAAAACGAAAAAGAAAUAAAGCUCUAUAUAAUUUAUUAAUGAAAAUGAUUUGGCAACACUGAUAAUAUUGUAAUAUAGGAGCAGCCGAAGACGUGAACACACACACACAAGCCAUCGCGUUUCCGGUACGUCCCACGUUUCCUGCCGUCACCAACCCACUUUACAGUAUUAUAUUAUAUUAUCUUUCUUGUAUACCCAAGACACCAGAUUACCCUUCUGGAAACGUAAUUUAAAUAACCAUUGUCAAAACUACGCGCGAAGCAAACUAAAAACCACCGUAAGAAAAAAAAAAAAAAAUGAUAAUCAUUUUUUUUCAUAGCGUAUUAUUAUAAUAUUCCUCGGCGUUAAACAAUUUUGAAAAUUCUAUAGUAGAUACGAAUAUAAGUAAACAGAAUUAAAAACUGAAAUCCCACAAUGAUGAACAGUGUUUUGUAGUGUAGGCAGUAUAGACAGUAAUAAUAUACGUAUAUGUAAUAUAUACAUAGUAGCCAAGUAAAUAAAAAAUGUAUAAAAUCGCCGAUUACCAUAUUUUCAAUGCGUUUUAAGAGGCCUGUAUUUAUUCGGUUGACGGUUCAAAUAGUAAUAAAACCCUGGAAUACACAUAUUAUAAAGGACGUUCGCUCUUAUUAAAAAUUACGUGAAUCGUCAAAAUACCGAAUAACCGAGCGAUAGCAAUUAUUUUCGAAAAUAUUAAAUACUCCGAGGUUCUCCUCAAUAUACACAUACAUAAGGGUUAUGUUAUGCGUACUAACAUAAUACAGAGUGAUUCAUUUACCUCCGUGAACCAACUAUUUCAUCGGAAGAUUUUAAGUAUAUUUUGAUUUCUGCAGCAGACAUUUCAAUCAUUACGGAAUCGUGAGAGGUUUAUUUUUUAUCCCUAUUUUCGAUAUAAUUUUACCGCUGCUCCUUGUAAACGGAGCCUUAAACGAGUAUACGUUCUUUUGAUUUUAGAAUACGAACAUAUAUCAUGCCCACGCUUUAAUACGGUCCUAAAGCGCAUACUAUUAAUUUAAAGCGUACAGGGAGUAGGGGAACGAAUUUAAAAUAGUGUUGAAAAAUAAAACUUGAACGAUUAUAUACAUAACGAAACGAAAAGAAAAAAACAGAAAUUAAAUUAAUUUACCAAUCCUCCGAGAAAAUCGCUGACACGCGUUAAACGGAUCACUCUGUACAAUACUUACGAACCGUAUAUAAAUUAGGGUGAAUUUGUUUACGAAAUAAUGCGUACUUCAAAACAACUCCGUAGGCUUUGAGAAGAGGGCAAAUAGUUAUACUUGUACAUAUUUAUUAUUAUUAUUUUUUUUUUUUAAACAUCUCUUCGAAACGUUAAAAUGUUACGCGUAGGACUGGCGCCACUGCAGAAUCCCACGAAACGCCAGACCCAUUGUGUUUCGGUAGUAAUAUUGUUUUCCUUAUAUUUUCCUGCACUUCUAAUACGUCGCCGUCUCACGAAUGAAACGAUAUACUUAAAACCAUAACGCCCCGCGUUAACGUUUAUUUUUCGGGAAUUUAAAACCAACACGUUUCUCGACGACGAACCCAUUUAAUAUAGUAUACGAGUAUAGGACCUCUAAUACUCAACAGAAUAUGUUUUGUAACGGCAGAGCAUACAAGAUCCCGACUUGGGAUAAAAAAAAAAUACAAUAUUAUACUGCAGAGUAUAUUUUUAGAAGUUCUCGUUUCGUAUACGUCGGGGCUGUAUAAUAAUUUACGAAUAGUACUAACCGUUAUUCCGAUGGGGGAAAAAAACCAUUAUAAAUUAUAUAGCUGCGGUGCCACAUAGUGCUACGUAUUAUAAUCCAAUGAAAAACACUAUCAUAUACGUCUUGGAUUUUUUAAAACUCGUCAACGAUUUUACACAAGGUUCGCCAUAAAACACGAGUUGUAAAGAUAAGCCUUUAUAUUGUUGAAAUUUCGAUGUAAACCGUAAAUCACGACGUUUCGUGACAAAUGAUUAACCGAAAAUAAUCGUCUUUCGUUUGUUAUUCUGUGCCUACAACAGUGGCCUGUAAGCGGUACAAAACCCGUCAAUAAAGAUCGGAAUCACUUUAUUUUCAAAAAAAUUGUUUCGAACGUCGUUAGGCUGCUUACCGCUCAGUCCAUAGGGUAUAACAUCACUUGCAACUACGGGGUUAUAGACAGACAGGAUGCCCGUCGAACCGUGAUAAGGAAACAAAUUGCGGAUACUGAUUAAUGUUGAUUUUCAGCGACGAGAACACUGUAGUCAGUGGCAUGCUCGACCAUUUUCAACGGGAGGGGAUGAAGCAAAUAAGAAUUCGAAAUAAAUCGUAAAACCGUCUUCUCUACACAACUCGAUUACCUAUGAGAAUUAUUAAUUCAAAAGCCGGAUUCUAAAAAAAAAAACCAAUUUUUCAUCGAGCUUUUCUUCGCAACUUGACUAACAUAUGCGCAUUUCGAUUAUUAGAUUAUUCGUAUUUUUCGUUUUUUUUUUUUUUUAAAACCAAUGCGAGGGGUUAACCUAUAACCUUCCUCUCCGUUUGCGCACGCUACUAAGUCUAUAAUUCGUCAUCGCCUUUCAUGGACUACUUAUAAACUAUAAGCGUAUCGACUUAUUAUUUUGUAUUACACAAUACGAGUGUAACAAUUAAAAAAUAUUGUCCUUGCGGUACCGAUCUCAUCACUCGACAGGCGACCAUAUUAAAUCGAUAAUCGCGAUUGUAACCCAGAAGUCUUUGUACGGACGGAGACGAUCGACGGACUUGAUAGUACUUGUCACGCGAUAAUGUCGAUAAUUACUAUGAACACCGAGUCGACGCCCGAUAAUAUUAUACGGGUAUAAUUCGUGUCGCGGUGAAUUAUUAUUAAUAUUCGAAAAUCGAAAUAAAUCAACGAUAUGACAUCGUGUUAUAAUUGUAUAGUCAUCCGCUGUCGUACGGAGACUUCUUACAAAUUCGAAUGACAAAUCGCAAGGCGAUCGCUUGAAGAACGAUGAAGUUUAAUUUUAACUCGCGCGAUAUUGACGGGGUAUUUUUUUUUUUUUGGUUUUAUCCGACAAACGCCACGCAUAAUCACGUCCAAAUGCUUAUCAAAUUCAUAUAAACAGCUUAUAUUGGGUGUCCCAAAAAAUACACGUUUUUUUUUAAAUUGGUUAAAUUUGGACUAUCUCUCUUAACAACCGUAUACGUAUCCUCAAACCUCUAAUCUCUAAUAAACUCAUCUCCCUUAAUAUCAAACUUUUGUUAACUAAUGCCAUUACGGUCGUUGUGUAAUCGGUUUUCGUUGAAGUGUCACCAUGCACCGAACAUCAGCUGAAACACGCGUGUUGGUUAGGUUAAGACCUUUUAGCGAUCCAACGAAAGUGAAGUGCGGAGACUGCGCGACGACUUUGUACCUUACUCGGACGGGACGCUGCUUUUGAUUCAUCAGUUCGUCGGCUGGUGAAAAAUUCCCAGAAACCGAGAACCACAAAUGAUUUGAAAGAAGAAAUUUAACGUGUGCAGACUGCGAAACUCACCAGGGAGAACUGUGAGGCGGUUGUUGCUAAUUUUCUUGCGCAUUUGUCAGCCUGUCAACAAACCCGAGGGAGGUCAUUUGAAUGAAAUUAUUUUUCAUACGUAAACCGGAAGUCAUACUGAAGAAACUGUUCAAGUCCUAUUUUGUAUUUGUUUGAAAAAUAAUUUUUUUUUUUUUUUGUGGCCAAUUGUAAAAAAACGUUCUUUUGGGAUGCCCUUUAUAUAAAUAGCGACAAAGUCGUUACAAUAAAAUACAAAAAUGCGCCGAUAGUUUAUAAUGUACUGUAGAACCGAGUAUUUAUUUAUUUUUUUUUUCUACUAAUAAACGAUUAAAUACUUUACGAUCGUUAUACUAAUAUAAAGAUACGACGACGGAACAAUGAAACCAUAAAAUAUUAUAACAUGGUAACUAUGAUAUAAUAUUAUCGUGUACGAUUUUACGUUUUAAUCGAGCUAUCCCGCACGUAAACCGCGUGAUAAUAAUAUUUUAUUUACCUUGGAUUUUUCUCAUCGGCGGCAUAGGUGCCCCGCGACGUCGUAUUCGAAACGCGCCAAUCGGAAUUAAUAGCAUUUGCCGCGUGUCAGUUGUGCAAAUCGCAAUACCUAUUCAGUCGGACCGGCCACCCGGUAAACGUAUUACGCGCUGACGUGUACGAUCGCGGCAAAACUAUAGGUCAAAUCGCCCCGUACGCGACCACAUCAUAAUCGGACGAUAUCGUUUUAUUACGAUACAAUAUACGACUGAAACGCCGUGCCGAAGUGGUUUUUUUUUAAGGUUUUCGGCCGACCCAAAUAUGUUGAAUGUUGAUUGACAUCGACUGGUUCGGAGACGCCUUUAGCAAAACUCAUUGUGGUCUUUGAGUGGAUAUAAAUCCUUCCCGUGCUCACACCUGCAGUUAUAAUGAGGCGCGGAUUUGUGAAAAUCAAAACGUGCCCGCGGAACGUCGCUAAUAAUUGCAUCCUCCCGGCGAUUUAAAAUCGAUAAAAUCUCGUCGUGCCUAUAAAAACACGAGGAACACACGCGGACGGGCGCCGAUAUAAACUCGAUCCCGACGAAAAUCCAAUGACAAUUCAUAAUCGUAUUAUUAUACGAAUAGAUAUAGGUAUAGGGACUACAAAAAAAUAUUAUUUAUGAACGGCGUCCAGGUCUUCGGCCUACGCGAUAAACCGUAGAGAUAUUAUGUUUACGCGGCGUUGCAGUCUACGUUUGUCUACGGCUUUUUACGUCGGUAAAAAGCACUUAAGGAACCCCGUAUUAACAUUAUAUUAUUAUACCAGCGUGCACAUUACACUGGCGCGGGCCGUUUUUCAUUGGAUAAUAUUUUUAGACGUUAUAUUGCGUUUAGGGAACAAAACGAUUCAUAAAAUACGAGUGUAUAAGCGGAAUUUACGGGCGUUUUAUACGUU